UUAUGCGCAAGCGUGGAACACCACGGAAGCGAGCGUUCUUUCGCACUGUUAAAGCGUCGGGGUUACGGGGUCAUCCCGGGGAAAAUGGCGGCGUCUGCGGCGGUGGUGUUUGUGACCUUCGGCCGCCUUCUGGGCCGCAGCCUCGGGCCCAGCCGGGGCUUCCCCGCGGCCGCCAGAUGUUUUGGUGUGCAGAUAUCGCCCACGGGGGAGAAAAUUACCCACACGGGCCAGGUUUAUGAUGAAGAUGAUUACAGGAGGAUUCGCUUUGUUGGUCGCCAGAAAGAGGUAAAUGAAAACUUUGCAAUUGAUUUGAUAGCAGAGCAACCAGUGUGCAAAGUGGAAAGUCGAGUGAUAUCAUGUGAUGGUGGAGGAGGCGCUCUGGGUCACCCAAAAGUGUAUAUAAACUUGGACAAAGAGACUAAAACUGGGACUUGUGGGUAUUGUGGACUUCAGUUUAAACAAGAUCACCAUCACUGAAACCAGUUAUAUUCUUUGGACCUUGUACAAGUUUCUGCAUCUCACAUUGAACCCCUGCUCACUGGGAAGAGCUUCCUAAGAAUAUGUUUCCCUUUUCCUUUAAUCCUGUUUGACUUCAAUGACACUGGUCACAUGUUUUGCUGUUUUUAUCUUACUAAAGGUCUUCGUGAGUCUGAGAUGAGAAUGAAAUCAUCAUUUACUCAACAUGAGGGAGCUGAAACCAAAGGACUUGCACAAGGUCACUCAGAGAGUAAGCAUUAGAGAUUCCUUCAAAGGACUCUGUUGCUUUGGACUUAAAGAACAGAGAAUAUGGGAAAUGUUGGAACCAAUGGACAACGUACAAAGCAGCAAGAAGCCUCUUUAAAUAGUUGAAAUCUUGACAAUUUAUUGCUACGAAAGUUUAUCUCUUGCAAGCAAGCUCUGGUGAAUGAUUCAUGCUGUCUCAUAGGUAUUAUGAGAAAGAAGACACAUGCAUCAGUUUCGUUGUCUUAUUCAAAGAACUCUAAUAUAUCAAGGCUUGGAGUAGCCAGUGCUGGGACCUGAAGCCUUUAUGUUACACACAAGCUGGUGAAUUGCACAACCAGGAAUGGGAAAAUUGUCUUCCAUAGGCACACAGUCAAUUACUUUUCAGAUGGAAGUAAGGAUCUAGUUGGGGACAUCAUCAAGUUCCCUUCCUUUUUCUUAUAUGAAUAUUUCAAAAAGUAAAGCAGUUGUGGUUUCAUAUA